UCACGGCGACGUGUUGAAGCAUACGCGAGUUUGCAAGAGACAGGUAGCCAACCAAGAGGUUGCGGUUCCGUCUUGACGCACAUAGGGAAGAGUGGGAUGAAAUCCUCCUGGUAAUCCAACAGUCACUAUUUUAAAAUAUUGUAUAUAUAUAUAUAUAUAUAUAUAUAUAUAUAUAUAUAUAUAUAUAUUCCCUCCACAACAGGGAAGUAAACCCAAAACCUUACGUACACAGGGAAUUGGCUUUCUGACAUACUCUCAUUUUACAAAACCUAGUACCAUAACCAGCAGCUGGUUAUAAAUAAGACAACGAGGAACCCAGAAAAUGCAAGCUCUCCAAAUUACGCGUCAAGGUUGCAAAAUCAAACCCUAAAUUCAGCUAAAAUCCAAAUUUUGCACUACUUAAAGCAAGGAGAAAGUGAGGAUCGUCUGAGGAUCGUCUGAGAGCCAUUCCAAUCAAAUUUGCAACAAAAAAAUAAGCGUGGUUUUUUAAAAUCACGCAAAUAAAUAAAUAAACUCGUUCAAAACAUGAUAGUCAAUCCAUACACACUCCAACAAAACCCA
rnacentral:lncRNA from 1 species